AGCGAGAGAACUGUUGUUAAGGAACUCGGCAAAAUGACCCCGUAACUUAGGGAUAAGGGGUGCCACCAUCAGGUGGCCGCAGAGAAUAGGCCCAAGCGACUGUUUACCAAAAACAUAGGUUUCUGCUAAGUCGCAAGACGAUGUAUAGGAGCUGACGCCUGCCCGGUGCUGGAAGGUUAAGGGGAUCUGUUAGAGCAAUCGAAGCAGUGAACUUAAGCCCCAGUAAACGGCGGCCGUAACUAUAACGGUCCUAAGGUAGCGAAAUUCCUUGUCGGGUAAGUUCCGACCCGCACGAAAGGCGUAACGAUUUGGGCACUGUCUCAACAACAGACUCGGUGAAAUUGUAAUUCCGGUGAAGAUGCCGGAUACCUGCGACAGGACGGAAAGACCCCAUGGAGCUUUACUGUAGCUUGACAUUGGGUCUUGGUACUACAUGUACAGGAUAGGUGGGAGGCUUUGAAACCAGGACGCCAGUUUUGGCGGAGCCAUCCUUGGGAUACCACCCUUGUAGUACUGGGACUCUAACCAUAGGCCAUGAAUCUGGUCUUGGGACACUGUCAGGUGGGCAGUUUGACUGGGGCGGUCGCCUCCCAAAAGGUAACGGAGGCGCUCAAAGGUUCUCUCAGUACGGUCGGAAAUCGUACGUAGAGUGUAAAGGCAAAAGAGAGCUUGAUUGCAAGACAUACAGGUCGAGCAAGGAUGAAAAUCGGACUUAGUGAUCCGGUGGUUCUGCGUGGAAGGGCCAUCGCUCAACGGAUAAAAGCUACCCUGGGGAUAACAGGCUUAUCUCCCCCAAGAGUCCACAUCGACGGGGAGGUUUGGCACCUCGAUGUCGGCUCAUCACAUCCUGGGGCUGUAGUAGGUCCCAAGGGUUGGGCUGUUCGCCCAUUAAAGUGGUACGCGAGCUGGGUUCAGAACGUCGUGAGACAGUUCGGUCCCUAUCCGUCGCAGGCGUAGGAAAUUUGAGAAGACCUGUCCUUAGUACGAGAGGACCGGGAUGGACGUACCUCUGGUGUACCAGUUGUCCUGCCAAGGGCAUGGCUGGGUAGCUAUGUACGGAAUGGAUAAGCGCUGAAAGCAUCUAAGCGCGAAGCCAACUUCAAGAUAAGAUUUCCCACCGCAAGGGUAAGACCCCAGAAAGACUAUCUGGUUGAUAGGUCGAAGGUGUAAGUGCAGCAAUGUAUUUAGCUUAUCGAUACUAAUAGGUCGAGGACUUGACCAA
rnacentral:rRNA from 1 species